GACAGAGGGUGCAAGCGUUGUUCGGAAUCAUUGGGCGUAAAGCGCGCGUAGGCGGUUUGGUGUGUCGGAUGUGAAAGCCCGCGGCUCAACCGUGGAAGUGCAUCCGAAACUGCCAAACUUGAGUCCCGGAGAGGGUGGUGGAAUUCCUGGUGUAGAGGUGAAAUUCGUAGAUAUCAGGAGGAACACCCGUGGCGAAGGCGACCACCUGGACGGUGACUGACGCUGAGGUGCGAAAGCGUGGGGAGCAAACAGG
rnacentral:misc_RNA from 1 species